UACAGAGUGCGCGAGCGUUAAUCGGAAUUACUGGGCGUAAAGGGUGCGUAGGCGGUUGUUUAAGUUAGAUGUGAAAUCCCCGGGCUUACCCUGGGAAUUGCAUUUAAAACUGAAUGACUAGAGUAGAGUAGAGGGAAGUGGAAUUUCCGGUGUAGCGGUGAAAUGCGUAGAUAUCGGAAAGAACAUCAGUGGCGAAGGCGGCUUCCUGGACUCAUAUUGACGCUGAGGCACGAAAGCAUGGGGAGCAAACAGG
rnacentral:rRNA from 1 species